rnacentral:lncRNA from 1 species
CCGUAAGUCACGGAGGAAGGGGUAUGCAGUCAUUUUUUUCUACAACAGUAAGCAACAUCCCCUCUCUUUCCCUGUUCCGCAUCCUGCCUACAUGUCCUGCCUGGUCGCCUGGCUCCUCCACGUGCACUUGAUGCUCCAGCCAGAUAGACUGUGCACACCUGGGCAGAGGGAGUGCUGUGCUGCAAAGAACAUGGGGAGUAUCUGGACUAUCAAU